GACGAAGGGGGCUAGCGUUGUUCGGAAUCACUGGGCGUAAAGCGCAUGCAGGCGGAUCGAUAAGUCGGGGGUGAAAUCCCGAGGCUCAACCUCGGAACUGCCUUCGAUACUGCCGAUCUGGAGUCCGGGAGAGGUGAGUGGAACUGCGAGUGUAGAGGUGAAAUUCGUAGAUAUUCGCAAGAACACCAGUGGCGAAGGCGGCUCACUGGCCCGGUACUGACGCUGAGAUGCGAAAGCGUGGGGAGCAAACGGG
rnacentral:rRNA from 1 species